rnacentral:rRNA from 1 species
UACGGAGGGUGCAAGCGUUGUCCGGAAUUAUUGGGCGUAAAGGGCUCGUAGGCGGUUUGUCGCGUCGGGAGUGAAAUCCACUGGCUUAACUGGUGGCUUGCUUUCGAUACGGGCAGACUGGAGGUAUGCAGGGGAGAACGGAAUUCCUGGUGUAGCGGUGAAAUGCGCAGAUAUCAGGAGGAACACCGGUGGCGAAGGCGGCCUGCUGGGCUAUGGCUGACACUGAGGCGCGACAGCGUGGGGAGCAAACAGG